AUUGAACGCUGGCGGAAUGCUUUACACAUGCAAGUCGAACGGUAGAGGGGGCAACCCCUCGAGAGUGGCGAACGGGUGAGUAAUAUAUCGGAACGUGCCCAGUCGUGGGGGAUAACGUAGCGAAAGUUACGCUAAUACCGCAAACGAUCUAAGGAUGAAAGAGGGGGAUCGCAAGACCUCGCGCGAUUGGAGCGGCCGAUAUCCACUUAGGUAGUUGGGGGGGUAAAGGCUCACCAAGCCACCGAUCUGUAGCUGGUCUGAGAGGACGGCCAGCCACACUGUAACUGAGACACGGUCCAGACUCCUACGGGAGGCAGCAGUGGGGAAUUUUGGACAAUGGACGCAAGUCUGAUCCAGCCAUUCCGCGUGCAGGGUGAAGGCCCUCGGGUUGUAAACUGCUUUUGUACGGAACGAAAAGGUCUCUCUUAAUACGGGGGGCUCAUGACGGUACCGUAAGAAUAAGCACCGGCUAACUACGUGCCAGCAGCCGCGGUAA
rnacentral:rRNA from 1 species